CGCGCGGAGGCGCCCGACGGCUCGCGCCUCGCCAACGGCCAGCGCUUAACGGCCAACGGCCAACGGCUCGCCGCGGGGGGAGGGCCGGGCAGGCGAGCUCCUCGCCCGCCGCGCUCUCUGCUCUGCCCGCAGCUUUCCUCCCCUGCGACAGUGCUAUAAACACAGCAAGCAAAAGGAAGACCUUAGAAAACAGCACAAGGAAGUUACAAAGGCUGUUGAGAAAGCAGAGAAGCCAGCUGGACCGAAUAAAACACAGCAUUGAGAGCUACAGAUGCAGAAUGUGUUAGCAAACAUAUAAGCCAUGACUGCAAGCAGAUCCUGGAGUGAGGAGGAAGAAACUGCCGUCUGCAACAUCAUACUCAUCCCGAUGAAGAUCUCGCGAAGCUGAUGACUUGCUGCAGCCAUUCUGCCUCCCCCAGCCUGAAGCUGUUGAUCUUAGAAGCCAAAGGGACAGAGAUAGACAACUCUGCAGGAAAACAAGAUCCAAAAGCAAAAAACAACCUUCAGCAGCUUAAAGUGAAGGGGUGAAAGGAGCUUCCAAAUUCGUAUUUGUUAUUAGAAAGAGUGUCUGUAUACUUGACAGACUGGCCACAGGAUGGGGUUUAUUGCCAUAGUCCUUUCCUGGAAGAUGAUUUAGCCACCAGCAACCUUUGCAUGUGUGAGGACAAUUCAAGUGAAGACUUUGGUGUUCAGGAGUGAUGAACCCCUGGCUACCUCAUGAGAUAACAUGAUGCCCUCACAGACUCCUGCUGUGGUGUGCCUGGCUGGUUUCAAGGUGGCUCUGGACUGUGCACUGUGCAGGCUGUUAUACGAAAUAAGCUGGCCUCAUCUGACAGGCAAAGCAUUUCUCUGUUGAAUUAGUAUCUUUAUAUGGCUCACAGGAUGAAACUGGAAGGCAAUCUGAGGGUGUUAUAACAUCAUCUUCUUUCUUAACAGAACCAUAGCUUCUGUGCCUCUCCAGCAGAAAUGACCCUCAAGGUCUGUUGUGCCAAGGCAUAAGUGGAUGCAUUUCUUAUGGGGAUGAAGCAACAAGGUUGUUUGCUUCUGUUGGUUUAAAAUAGACUUUUAUGGUUACUUUAAUGUAUCCUUUUUCUUUAUACGUUGAAGGCUUAAAAAUUUGCCCUGACACAUAGCAGUAAAACAGAAGCUACAGUGAAAGAGUGAGCUGUAAGAUAUCCAAGCAAAAGGAUACUUUAAAAUCCAUCAAUUUCUGUAGCAUCUUUCAUAUGCACAAAGUUACAGUGCCCGACAGGCUAUCUCAGUGUGUCCAAUUGCCUGUUUUAACAAACACAUCUUUAGGCUUGUGGAAGUAAAGUAAGGUCAUUGCUUGAAUGAGUAAGCUAACACUUGGAAAGAGAUGCAGUGUGAUAGGUCUACUGCUCUCCAAACAGUGUGUACAGAAAAAAUAAUAGUAAAACUAAAAGAUAACAUAUAAGCAAUAAAAAAUAGCAAGUAUCUCUUCCUGGGCACAUCAAUUCUGGCAUCAUCAUCUUAGCCACCAGUUAGAUAGAUGGUCAAGGGAAAACAGAGAAAAUGUCUCAUUCUAGCACUGAAGAUUACAUACUAUCAAAAAGAUAAAAUUACCAAAGACCCUUCCAGAUCACCUAAGAGGGGGGGUUGUAUGUAUACAGCACAUUGAAAAUCUAGCCCAAUUUAUCAUCUUUGCAAGAAAGCAAAUACUUGGUAGGUUUUGUAUUUUAAACAGCACUCAAAGUGCAUGAAAAUAAAUAAAUAAGCUAACCUUAAAGUCUAAGCCCAGGAAUGAAAAUCUGAGCAGACUUCAGCCUUCAUCAUCAGCUUAGCUCUCUGGGUGUGACAGGCAAUUUUCCUUUUUAAUUUUCUCCAGCAGUAAGGAAGCUAAUGGUACAUCUGAAAAGAUACGACCUUAUCCUUGUAAGUUACCUGAAGCUUGGCAGAAAAUGAGAUGGUCUUACUUUCUAUGAAAGGCCAGUUUGAAGGGAAGAAUUCCCUUCUUGCUUGCAUCAAUGGAUUGAGGAAUGGAAUGAAAGAUCUGAUUUUUGUACACAGUUUUUAUUCUGCUCCAGCUUUGAUCCCUGAAAUGUUUUAUAAUGGUAGCAUUUUAUACAUUUUAAAAUUAUGAAUGCUUCAUAAAAAUAGAUAUGGCUGAUCAUUUUCAUUUGGCCAGAAUAGAUGUGAUGUAGGGCUGUUACUCAGAAGCAUACCUAGGUGAAGACUUUUCUUCCUCCUUGGAGUCCUCUUGAAGUCAGUGCAACUGUCUGUAUCAGUAAAGUUGUGGAUUUGCUGUACUGUAACAUGGCAAGGAUUUUUAUGAAAAAAAUAAAUUAGAGCCGGAGCUAUUUCAAUGAGUGAUCUGGCAAAGCAUUGUUGGUAUGAUGAAUCUGUCAUAAUUGUGGAUAAACAGAACAGUGAAUUCUUUUGUGUUGGUGUCUGAGGGGUUGCUGAUCCAAAUCCACAUGCAAUUAAGUGGGAAACAAUAUAUCUAUUAUACACACACACACACACACACAC